rnacentral:rRNA from 2 species
ACGGAAGGCAGCAGUGGGGAAUAUUGCACAAUGGGGGAAACCCUGAUGCAGCGACGCCGCGUGAGUGAUGAAGUAUUUCGGUAUGUAAAGCUCUAUCAGCAGGGAAGAUAAUGACGGUACCUGACUAAGAAGCACCGGCUAAAUACGUGCCAGCAGCCGCGGUAAUACGUAUGGUGCAAGCGUUAUCCGGAUUUACUGGGUGUAAAGGGAGCGUAGGCGGUACGGCAAGUCUGAAGUGAAAUCCCAGGGCUCAACCUUGGAACUGCUUUGGAAACUGUCGAACUAGAGUGUCGGAGAGGUAAGUGGAAUUUCUAGUGUAGCGGUGAAAUGCGUAGAUAUUAGGAGGAACACCAGUGGCGAAGGCGGCUUACUGGACUGUAACUGACGUUGAGGCUCGAAAGCGUGGGGAGCAAACAGGAUUAGAUACCCUGGUA